rnacentral:rRNA from 1 species
CGCAAGCCUGAUGCAGCCAUGCCGCGUGUAUGAAGAAGGCCUUCGGGUUGUAAAGUACUUUCAGCAGUGAGGAAGGUGGGUAUGUUAAUAGCAUAUUCAUUUGACGUUAGCUGCAGAAGAAGCACCGGCUAACUCCGUGCCAGCAGCCGCGGUAAUACGGAGGGUGCGAGCGUUAAUCGGAAUUACUGGGCGUAAAGCGCAUGCAGGUGGUUUGUUAAGUCAGAUGUGAAAGCCCGGGGCUCAACCUCGGAAUUGCAUUUGAAACUGGCAAACUAGAGUACUGUAGAGGGGGUAGAAUUUCAGGUGUAGCGGUGAAAUGCGUAGAGAUCUGAAGGAAUACCGGUGGCGAAGGCGGCCCCCUCGGACAGAUACUGACACUCAGAUGCGAAAGCGUGGGGAGCAAACAGGAUUAGAUACCCUGGUAG